GUCAAUGUCAAACUAUCAAUGUCAAUAUGUAAAAGGUAAAACUUCAAAAUUUACUUUCGCUGCAGUUUAAAAUAUUAUUGUUAUCUAGAGACAUCAAAUAUCUCUUUUGAUAUUGAAAGUAAUCAAAUAAACUGCUAUAUAUCUGAAAUAUAAAAUGUUGAAAGGAGUGGUUAUUUUUGGCACCGGUGUCUACGCCGGUGUAUAUAUAGCACAAAAUUAUCAGAUUGACAAAGUAGAAAAUCCUAAGGUAUUAUUGGACAAAGCACAAGACUUCAUCAAAUCCAAACUAGGAGAUUUGUCUGACACCAAAAAAGACAAAUGAUUGAAACAGGUUGAGGCAAUAAAAUGUAAUAGACAAUGAAUUAAAUUAAACAUUUUAUUAUUGUAAAUACCGCUUACCCUAAUAGUCCUAGUUAACAAUAAUUUAAAUAAACAAUAUGUUUA